CACGACCGAACCCCUCAGUGCAGUCGCCUCGCCUUGGCACUGUUUGCCUUGUGUGAGAUCGCCAUUGCCCCUUGAUGCUGUGCCCCACCGGUACCAAGUGCACCAUCGUUGUGCAUGUUGCUUCAAGUGCGUGGCUGUCUCCAUCACCGGGCUAACUCAGAUCUGCACACCAAUGGAACUCAUGUGGGGGUGCUGCCACUCCUCACUCCGGGCACAUCGGCUAGCGCUGCCGGCCGCUGCGCCACAGCCAUGAGCACGCCUUCUUCGCCCACUGCAUAGGCCACGCCUCGCUUGCCCGCGGACCGCCGUGGCAUCCAUCGCGCCUGCGGUGAUCAAGGUUGGAGCUCGCCCGCAACAGGGCAGCGCCGCCAGGACCAGACCUCGUCCGAGCCAAGGCCCUGCUGAUGAACCAAGGCCAGACCUUGUCCGAGCCAAGGCCGGUCUCGAGGCGGGGCGAGAGUGGCGGACGGCGCUGGCGGGCGAGGCGAGGCGAGGCGACGCUCGGCGGGCGAGGCGAGAGCGGCGGACGGCGCUGGCGGGCGAGGCUCGCGGGGGCGGGCGAGGCGAGGCGAGGCGACGCCCGGCGGGCGAGGCGAGAGCGGCGGACGGCGCUGGCGGGCGAG
rnacentral:lncRNA from 1 species